rnacentral:rRNA from 1 species
CCUACGGGCGGCAGCAGUGAGGAAUAUUGGUCAAUGGACGAGAGUCUGAACCAGCCAAGUAGCGUGAAGGAUGACUGCCCUAUGGGUUGUAAACUUCUUUUAUAUGGGAAUAAAAUGUUCCACGUGUGGGAUUUUGUAUGUACCAUAUGAAUAAGGAUCGGCUAACUCCGUGCCAGCAGCCGCGGUAAUACGGAGAAUCCGAGCGUUAUCCGGAUUUAUUGGGUUUAAAGGGAGCGUAGGUGGAUUGUUAAGUCAGUUGUGAAAGUUUGCGGCUCAACCGUAAAAUUGCAGUUGAAACUGGCAGUCUUGAGUACAGUAGAGGUGGGCGGAAUUCGUGGUGUAGCGGUGAAAUGCUUAGAUAUCACGAAGAACUCCGAUUGCGAAGGCAGUUCACUGGACUGCAACUGACACUGAGGCUCGAAAGUGUGGGUAUCAAACAGGAUUAGAUACCCGAGUAGUC